GAUAAUCAGGUUGAGAACGGAAGUGAAACGCUAGAAGCUGAUCAAACUGCAAACAUGGAUGCCAAGAUCGAGGACGUCAAGCAAGAAGAAGCUGUCGUUGAAGAAAACAAAGAUGCUGUCGGUGUUGAAGAAACCUCAACUCAAAUGGAAGUUCAAGAGAAACCUGUAGCAGCUAGUUGUAUUGAUGCCCCUAUAGAAAAGCCAGAAACUAUGACAUCGGAAGCUAAUGGGGAUGUAGAGAAAGAGAAUCCGAAUCAAACAAUCCCUGUUCCCGAGGGAGAGGUGAAAGAGAAAAGCGUCCUAGAGGCUGCC
rnacentral:lncRNA from 1 species